rnacentral:lncRNA from 1 species
ACGGAGUCUUCUUAUGAAAGAAACACGUCUCCCAAGGCUUUGGCUGCCAUAGGUAGUGAUUCCCGUGGUGACCUGGGCAAAGUCGUCUGAAAAUAUCUGGGAGAGGAUCGCCCCUCUAGCUGCCGUCAGAGCAGGUGUGACUCAUGGAAGAGGUUAAAAUAUCCACUUUAGUGGGAGUUUGGAAGAAACAGAUCCAGAUCGUCCUGGAUGACUUUGAAGGGUUCAAGACGUCAGUGGAGGAAGCAGCUGCAGAUGUGGAGCAAAUAGCAAGAGAACCAGAAAUAGAAGCCUGCAAACGUGACUGAACUGCUGCCAUCUCGUGAUAAAGCCUUAGCAGAUGAGGAGCUGCCUUUUAUGAAUGAGCAAAGGAAGUGGUUUCUUGAGAUGGAAUCAGCUCUGGUGAAGAUGCUGUGAAGAUGGUUGAAAUGACAACAACGGACUUAGACUACUCCAUAAACUGAGCUAAGCAGCGUGGGGCUUGAGAGGCUGAGUCCGACUUUGAAAGAAGUUCUAAUGUGGGGAAAACGCAAUCAGCAUUGCAUGCUACAGAGAAAUCGUGCAUGACAGGAAGAGUUAAUCGAUUUGGUAGCCUUCGUCGUGGUCUUAUUUUAAGAAAUUGCCACAGCCAGCCCAGCCUUCAGCAGCCCCCACCCUGAUCCAUCAGCAGCAUCAAUGUGCAGGCAGGACCCUCCACCAGCAAAAAGACUGUGACUCACUAAAGCCUCAGAUGAUUGUUCAACCUCUUUAGCAAGAAAAUAUUUUUUAAAAUUAAGGGUGUCAGUCCCUGCUGCAGGUGCCUGAGGCAGGUCAAGAUGGAAAGGCCAGCUCAGAUUCACCACCACCGAAGUGCCCGAAGCGACGAGAAAGUAUCCCCCACCUUGUAAAUUCGGCUUCACUCCACUUUGAUUUUGCAAAAGAUCUGCAUUAGUACCUGUUUUCACGAACCAAAAGAAAUCCGGGAGGACUUUCACUUUUACAGGAGAAGGGGAGAAGCAGAGCUGGCGUUCAGGGCUGGCUCUGCGGUUAGUCACUAUACCUAUACCGUCAGCGCCACCCCAGGCAGCCCAGUGGCCCGGGCAGUCUCCUUUCCCGGGGGCCAGCCUUGGUGUCAAGCCCCAGAGCUCCAAGCAGCGUCCGUGAGCAUCCGGUUCUCUCUUCAUCGGCGUGAUACGUCCAGGCAGUACGGCACGGCCUCAGACUGGGGAGUAAUUCUAACUCCCGUGACUUCGUCGUGCCUCGAAGUAGAAGUCUAGACAUCUGGAUUUGGACAUCUGGAUUCAUCCCUUGCUGUAUCCUCUAGGUUCUUUAAGGACACCGUCAAAGAUGGUGACCGACGCAGACCCUUGUAAAACGUCACAAGACUGGCAUACUUGUAGGUGAUAAGGACGGAGAAAUAAAACAUAGGAUCUCAGCCCGGCCUUACAGGUGCUGCCCAAAGUCACAACAUCUGGAGCGCAGCCUGGAGCUGAGACGCGGGGGCUCUGCCGUGAGCCUGCUCGGCCCGGCCCCGAGGCUGGGCGCUCUCAUCCGGACCUGCUUUGGUGCAGGAGAGCAGGAUGGCAGCGGCCGGGAGGUUUCGCAUCCAGACUGAGCCAGGGUGAAGGCCUCCGAGCCAGGCUCGCUCUGCUGUGGCUUCGGCAGUUUCUCCUUCCAGGGGGACCUUCAGCCCCUCCGUCUGCUUUCGGCAGGUGGUGUGUGCAUGGGGAGCACACGUCCCGAGGGCUUGGCUCCGGCUCUGCCAUUGACCGUCCCGUGACCCUGGGCUCUAACUUCUUGCUGAGCCUCCGUUUUCUCUCGGGCAAAAUGCAGGUGCUAAUCAUCCCCACUUCAUGGAUUGCUGGGAUCACAUCUCUGUUGUGGAAAACUUUAGGGUAAACUAAAGUGCGCUAGAGGCAGAACAUCGGGUCUGGGCCGUGUGUCUGCCGAUUGGCUAGUUUAACCUUGAGAAAAACCUCUGCCACUGCCUGCCCGUCUGUUUCCGGUCUCCAAGCCCAGAUCUUUCUCUUCGCAGGCCCCAGACACGCCCCUGGUACAUGGAGAUAUCUCAUACUGGCAAUAAUAUAACAUUUCUUUUAUUUGAUGAUGUUAUUGAAUAAUUUUUUAUUUUUAAUCUAAGCAAACACUUAAGUUUAAAAAAACUAGUAACUAUGAAUCUUAACAUAGAAAUGUUAGCCCCUGCCCGUCUUCCGCCCAGUGCCGGUCCACCACUUCCACUGCUUUUAACUGGUUUAUCUGGAAAUAGCUCUACAUGUCUAAACAGCAUCCUUACUCUACAAGUCUUGAUGAUUUUUAAGUUUUAAUUGUUACCUGUUGACUUCCUAGCAUGGGAAGAAAGGAUUUAACCCUCCCCUCCCGUCACGGACACAGACACACCCCUCCGCACCCCCCACCCUCCUCUUCCAUCCGUUCUGUAUGCGGAUCGUACGUUUUGGUGGGAUAUUCGGAUGUCACACUGGGUUCACAGUUAAGUCAGAUAACAUGUGUGAUGACACGCAGCUGCACGUCUUUGCGUACACAAAUUGUUUCCCUGAAGGUAAUAAUUGCAUUGCUUUCCUGUUUGCUGAGUGUUCUCCUGGUAUCACUCGUUCGGCCCAGAAUCUUUAUAAAAGUGUCGCAUGUCCUUUCACUGCACCCGCACACGUGUGCCAUCUCUCAGCCCCUGGAGCCCAUGUCUCUGGGGGUCCCACCUCCUUGGUUCCGCGCUGGGCUGGCCGCUCUCGAGACCCACCGCGUCACCGCAUCCCCGGGCUCCCGGGCCUGGGCUCCGUUCCCGUCCUCCUGGGGAACGCGGCCCCCCCCUCGCUCUGCUGUGGCUUCUCUGCCUCCUGGAUCCCGUGGCUUCUUCCUGCUUGUUUUCCUCCUUCGCUUUGUAGAAGCACGUUGUCCAGUAAUGUCUCCAAAAGAGGAAGGAUGGCUUUUGUUUCUGGAGGGUGCACACCUGAAACGGUCUUUAUUCCACGCUUCCAUGUGGUUGAUUAUUUGAUUGGACACAGAAUUACCAAUACAGCUCAGAAACAUUUUU